AUACCUUUCUCGGCCUCUUGGCUAAGAUCAAAUGUAGUAUCUGUUCUUAUCAGUUUAAUAUCUGAUACAUGAAUCUACGGAUCCAUGAGAUAUUAAGUUAAUUUCUUUGUGGGGAAGAAUCCGCAUAUUGGCGGUUUUCAUGCGUCGUCCAAGCGUUGCACUACUGCUUGGAACAGGCGCAACCCAA
rfam:Triticum aestivum genome assembly, contig: Triticum_aestivum_CS42_TGACv1_scaffold_081416_1DS